AACAAGGUGGCAGAAUAUUGCCACAGGUUUAAACCCUGUAUACGAGGAAUCCUCCCUUGUUA
rnacentral:tRNA from 1 species